GACGAACGCUGGCGGCGUGCCUAACACAUGCAAGUCGAACGAAGUGGCGAACGGGUGAGUAACGCGUAAUCAACCUGCCCUUCAGAGGGGGACCACAGUUGGAAACGACUGCUAAUACCGCAUACUGAAGGAGGUGAUUGCGUUUGAUUAGCUAGUUGGGGGGGUAACGGCCCACCAAGGCGAUGAUCAGUAGCCGGUCUGAGAGGUGGAACCGUCAAAAUGGGAAUGAGACACGGCCCAGAAUCCUACGGGAGGCAGCAGUGGGGAAUCUUCCGAAAUGGACGAAAGUCUGACGGAGCAACGCCGCGGGAGUGAUGAAGGCCUUCGGGUUGUAAAGCUCUGUUAAUCGGGACGCGGUACCGGAAUAGAAAGCCACGGCUAACUACGUGCCAGCCGCCGCGGUAAUAC
rnacentral:rRNA from 1 species